UGCCAGCAGCCGCGGUAAUACGGAGGGGGUUAGCGUUGUUCGGAAUUACUGGGCGUAAAGCGCACGUAGGCGGAUUAGUAAGUUAGGGGUGAAAUCCCGGGGUUCAACCCCGGAACUGCCUCCGAUACUGGCAAUCUAGAGGUCGAGAGAGGCGAGUGGAAUACCGAGUGUAGAGGUGAAAUUCGUAGAUAUUCGGUGGAACACCAGUGGCGAAGGCGGCUCGCUGGCUCGAUUCUGACGCUGAGGGACGAAAGCGUGGGUAGCAAACCGGAUUAGAUA
rnacentral:rRNA from 1 species